CAGUCGCCACGGGAAUACGUAGGGUGCAAGCGUUAAUCGGAAUUACUGGGCGUAAAGCGCGCGUAGGUGGUUCGCCAAGUUGGAUGUGAAGUCCCCGGGCUCAACCUGGGAACUGCAUCCAAAACUGGCGAGCUAGAGUAUGGUAGAGGGUGGUGGAAUUUCCUGUGUAGCGGUGAAAUGCGUAGAUAUAGGAAGGAACAUCAGUGGCGAAGGCGACCACCUGGACUGAUACUGACACUGAGGUGCGAAAGCGUGGGGAGCAAACAGGAUUAGAUACCCGAGUAGUCCCUGUCUCUUAUAC
rnacentral:rRNA from 1 species